GAUGAAGAACGCAGCGAAAUGCGAUAGGUAGUGUGAAUUGCAGAUGUAACGUGAAUCAUCGAAUCUUUGAACGCAAAUUGCACUCUCUGGUAUUCCGGGGAGUAUGCCUGUUUGAGGGUCGCCAAAUCAACAUCGAAAUUCAUUUGCUUUUGUAAAUGUUUAUCGGAUUUGAGCCGUCUUUUAUUUUUUUAAUUAAAGUGGCUUAAAAUGUAUUUUUUGGUAUCGAAAAACGUUAUUUUACGAUCAAAUUGAUUAAAAAAACAAACGUUUCGAAUGCCGUCUUUUAAUGUAAUACGCUUGACUGUGGUGUUAAUCAUAGUUUCAUUCGUAUACGAUUUUUUAAUUUUUGACCUCAAAUCAGGUAAGAACACUCGCUGAACUUAAGCAUAUCAAUAAGCGGAGGA
rnacentral:misc_RNA from 1 species